rnacentral:lncRNA from 1 species
CACAAAUUCAUUAAUUCUUUAUUAACGUUUAGCCCUACGGCACCUUUUUAUUAAGAAUGAUGAUGAGAGUAAUUGUAAAAUAUAAUAGGCAUGUUCUUUCUUACGUUAUGGAUCAUUGAUUUUGUUACCUGUUGACCCGGUUGAUUACUAGCACGUGCCAUUGAACUCGACCAUUUUAACUAACACAGAUUUUUUUUUAAAUUAACGCC